rnacentral:rRNA from 1 species
UACGUAGGGUGCGAGCGUUGUCCGGAAUUACUGGGCGUAAAGAGCUCGUAGGUGGUUUGUCGCGUUGUUCGUGAAAACUCACAGCUUAACUGUGGGCGUGCGGGCGAUACGGGCAGACUAGAGUACUGCAGGGGAGACUGGAAUUCCUGGUGUAACGGUGGAAUGCGCAGAUAUCAGGAGGAACACCGGUGGCGAAGGCGGGUCUCUGGGCAGUAACUGACGCUGAGGAGCGAAAGCGUGGGGAGCGAACAGG